rnacentral:tRNA from 1 species
UCCCUGGCAGUCCAGUGGUUAGGAUUCUGCACUUCCACUCUAGAGGGCCUGGGUUCGAUUCCUGGUUGGGGAA